rnacentral:lncRNA from 10 species
CGGGGUGGUGGUGGUGGGGGGGGUUGCCGCGUCCGGCGAGGCCCGACUCUGACCCGCCGCCCCCUGGCGGCUACGCGGAGAAUCGCAGGGCCGCGCUCCCCCUUGUGCGACAUGUGCUGCCGGCCCGGGCUCCAUGAGCGUGGCGGGCACUUUGCAGUCUCGGGUGUUCCUGCCCGGUCUUCUGUUCCUAAACUGCAGCAAAGGGAAAAGGAACUGAAAAAGGCAGGCUCGUCGUUGUAAUAUCACCAGAAGAGAAAAUUAACGGCAUGCCAUCAGGACCACAGCAGUUGGAGAAACAACUCUUUAUCCCGGCUUGCAGCCACGAGUCAUACACGUGGAGCUAACUGCACCAGUAGCUUUUCUGAGGAUACUUGCUGAAAAGGAAGUUUAAUGGAAUGGUAUUCGCUAAGUGGAAGCCAGAAGAAGAGGAAAAUGUUUUGCCACGUGGAUGUGAAGACUUCCUCUAAAAGGUACACAUGGACUAAAUUGCCCUUAAAUGUUCCAAAAUUAGUUCUCAUUUAUUUGCAGUCUCAUUUUGUUUUGUUUUGUUUUGUUUUGUUUUUUCUCUAUGUAUCAAUCCAUUUGGGAGAGGCCAGCCAUUGGAAGAGCCACCACUUCCAGUGCUAG